UGUAUAAAGUAAGGUAUUCAAAUCAUGUUAUAAAUUGUAGGUCUGUUAAUUUAGAUGUUGCAAAGCAGUUGAAAGGCUACGGGCCAAACAGUCAGGGAAAAGGAGCAUCUAACUUAUUUGAAGUACAAACAUCGAGUGGAACAACAGCUGUAGAUGGCACGUGUCCAAAAUUGAAAGCGUUCAUAGUGAGAAAUGGCAUUGUUUAUAUCAAAACGUCACCAAAUUGUCAAAUAAUUAUACAUCCUGACAGACUGACUACAUGGAGGAACUAAAUUGUUACAACAAAGGCUGUGGUUGAUGUGAGAAGGUUAAAGUGUUCCAUAGAGGAAAUAGCCGACAGUUAGUUAUGUACAUAGAAGAGACCAAAUAAUGGAAACCCUUAAUAAUUGUUUGUCAAAAUAUACUUUUCAACAUUCAUUUUGUAACAAAAGGCAUUAUUCAUGGAGACUACUAUUUCGACGAGACCCGAGUAUGAACGCUGAAUAAGUUAAAUACCCGCUGUUUGUACAUAGACUACAACAGAUAACGUCAUUUUACAUUGACAGAAGAACUAGUAAAAUAAUAAUUAUUGUUGAAGCAGUGUUUAAUACUUUUAACGUUGUUGGUGGUUUUUUCUCCAAAUUAUGCCAAACUGCAUCUGUAACUUAAAGUUAUGUACGCAUUAUGUUACGAGUAAUAAAUCUAAGGAUAC